CAUUCUGAGAGUUGUAAUGUUGCCCAAAAAAGGCGGUAUUAUACCGUCCAUGAGAUUGUAAACGAGAGAAAUAACCUCGAGUUUUUGAAAACGAGCGAAAGUAUCGGGAAUGUCUCCUGAGAAAUUGUUUCCGGUAAGGUCAAGGUAUCUAAGGUUAGGGAGGUCAGCUAAUGUUGAACACUAAGUGUUCUGGACUAAUUCAAAGCUAAAGUAUUGUAUUGAAAAUGUGACAGUGAAGCUAAAGCUUUACAACAAGAAAAACGUGGAAUUGCAACUCUGUAUCUUUUAUUAAGAGAAGUUCAACUUAAAUAGAAAUACAAAUAACAGAUAAGUAGAAAAAUAUGCAGCAUCUAACCCAUGACUAACUGUCACCUAGUAAGCUGGGAUUUUCCUAAGGAAUAGGUAAACAAUUGACUGGUUCCUGGUAAAUAGGAACUUAUUCAAAUACAGAGUAAAUCAAAUAACAAAUAAACAAUAAACAUUUAACACCCUCCCUUAAACUGAUUGCUGCAAAGAAACAGUUUAAGAUGGUACUGCUAUGGAGAUUUCAUCAUAGCAGUUUUAUUAAACAAACAACAUAACUGCUGUUAUCAAUUUUCUUGCUCAAGAACCUGAAAUGAACACAUUCCAAGUAAGUUACGCAGUUUUUCAAAUGCAUCCAACUUCAGUGCCUUUGUCAUGAUGUCUGCGAUUUGAUCUUCACUUCGGCAGUAAACCAAUUCGAUGGUUCCUUCAUUUGAAAGAUCACGAAGGAAAUGAUAUCGCACAUCUAUGUGCUUGCUUCUCCCGUGAAGGACUGGAUUUUUAGAAAGCUUGAUUGCUGAGCUGCUGUCACAGUGAAUUAUUGUAGGAUCAUGUUGCUGAAAAUGCAGAUCAUCAAGAAUUCUUCUCAGCCAUAUUGCUUGACAUGCUGAUGUUGCUGCGGCUAUGAACUCUGCUUCGGUUGUGGAUAGAGUAACCACCUGUUGUUUUCUUGAAGACCAAGACACAGCACCUGAAUUCAUCAUGAACACGCUUCCUGAAGUGCUUCUCCUGUCGUCUACAUCACCUGCGUAAUUGCUGUCAGCAUAGCCAAUGAGUCUUGAAGCUUCUCCUUUCUUAUAGUGUAUACCGAAAUCAGUUGUUCCCUGUAAAUAACGAAACACUCUCUUCGCAGCUUGGGAAUGCAGAAUUGUUGGUGAUUCCAUGUACCUGCUAAGAAGACUCACUGCACACAUAACAUCCGGCCUAGUAGCUGUUAAGUACAUUAAGCUCCCAACCAUUUGUUUGUAAUAGGUGCUGUCGAUUCUUUGUCCAUCAAGAUCCUUAUGUAGCUUUAGUCCUGGUUCAAUUGGAUUCUUGACUGGAUUGCAAUUUUGAUAAUGAAAUCUUUCCAAGAUCUCUUUUGCAUAUUUCUUCUGCGUAAUGAAGAUUCCAGUUGUUGAUUGCAUGACUUCAAUUCCAAGGAAAUAACGCAUCAUACCCAAAUCAGUCAUCUCAAAUUCAGCUUUCAUGGAGUCCUUGAAUUCUUGAAGCAAAAUCCCAUCAUUCCCAGUGUAAAUAAGAUCAUCCACGUAUAAACACACAAACAAGAAUUUACCUCCACCUGCAGUUUUAACAAAUAAAGUGUGUUCAUGUGGGCAUUUUCUGAAACCUGCCUUAGUGAAGAACGCAUCUAUACGACUGUACCAAGCUCUAGGAGCUUGUUUCAGUCCGUAUAAAGCUUUGUUCAACUUGUAAACCUGCUCCUCAUAUCCUUGCUUCACGUAUCCAGAGGGCUGAUCAACAUAAACUUGUUCUUCCAAGUCCCCAUUCAGGAAAGCAGACUUUACGUCCAUCUGAAAAAUAGGCCAAGUGUGUUGUGCUGCCAAUGAAAUUACAAGACGAAUGGUAUCAUGCCUGACUACUGGGCAAAUACCUCAUCAUAAUCGAUGCCAUGCUGCUGUUUGUAGCCCUUUACCACUAGACGAGCCUUGUGCUUGUCAAUCUCCCCAUUCUCAUUUAACUUGGUCUUAUAGACCCACUUUACACCAAUGGUUUUCUGUCCUCUUGGAAGAUCCACAAGUUCCCAGGUGUUGUUUUUGUUGAUGGCAUGAAUCUCUGUGUCCAUGGCUCUUCUCCAUUUCUCCUCUUUUACUGCAUCUUCAAAUUUUAUAGGAUCAGAACCUGCAAAUAAAGCAAACUGGGCAAAGGUAUCUUCAUCAGAAAAUUCAUUUCCAUUGACAUAGUCAUUCAUCCAUGCAGGGGCUGUUCUUUGCCGUUGAGGUAUGUUGGAUGUCCCUUCACCGUGUGGAACAAUGGUUCCUUCAUGUGAAAUAGGAAUUUGCAGCUGCUCUUCUGUGUGAAUUUCACAUUCAGGUGGCUGAAUGUGAGAUUCAAUUCUGCGAUCACCAAUAAAAACCUCUUCUGUUCCGUAGCUUGCAUCUUCAUAUAGGUCAGAAUCUUGAAACAGAUUUGCAUCUGUUCUCUUCCAAUCCCAUGUGUUUUCUUCAUCGAACUGAACAUCACGACUGAUGACUAUGUUUUUGGUGAUUGGAUUAAAAAGCUUGUAAGCUUUUGAUUCCUCACUAACUCCAAGAAAUACACACUUUACUGCCUUGUCAUCCAGCUUUGUUCUUUUGGCAUCUGGAACAUGUGCAUAUGCUAUGCACCCAAAAUUCUGAAGUGAUCAACCGUAGGCUUAGAUCCACACCAGGCUUCUGUUGGUGUAAUAUUCUUUACAGCAAACGUAGGGCAACGAUUCAAUAUAUGAACACUCCAUUUAACUGCUUCAGGCCAGAAACUCUUCGGCAUUUUUCCCUUCAGUAACAUACUACGAACCAUGUUCAUAAUUGUACGAUUUCUUCGUUCCGCCACCCCAUUCUGUUGUGGUGAAUAUGCUGCUGUAAGUUGCCUUUUUAUUCCAUGCAUUUCACAGAAAUUUGCAAAUUCAUGUGAAGUAAAUUCACCACCACGGUCUGUUCGAAGGAUUUUAAUGGGAUUACCACAUUCCUUUUCACUAUGAGCUUUAAAUUUCUUGAACACAGUAAAAGCUUCAGACUUAUCUUGCAAGAAGUAAACCCAUGUCUUUCGACUGCAAUCAUCUAUAAAGGAGAUAAAAUACCUCUUGUUGCCAUUUGAGGUUGGAUUAAUUGGUCCACAAAUGUCCGAGUGAACCAAAUGAAGAGUUUCUUCAGCUCGCCAAGCUUUUCCUUUUGGAAAGGAAUCUCGAGGUUGUUUCCCCACAACACAUUCCUCACAUAAUUCAGUAGGACAAGUGAUUUUUGGAAGCCCAGUCACCAUGUUUUUCUCUUGCAAUGCCUUCAAGCCAUCGAAAUUUAGAUGCCCAUAACGAUAAUGCCAUAACCAAGUUGAGUCAUGCAUUUUCGUUGAAAAACAAGUUUGAAUUUGAUCCUGCAUGUAUAAUGGAAACAUGCGAUUGCUUGUCAUUCUUGCUUCAGCAAUUACUCCCUUCUCUGGAUGAUGUAUUUUGCAACAACCUGCUGCAAUGAUUAUUGUAUAUCCCUUCUCUUGCAAUUGUCCCAUGCUAAUCAGAUUACUCUUUAAUUCUGGAAUGUAGAAAACACUGGAUAUUGUCUGCACUGUGUUGUGUUUUGCAUAAAAUCUCACAUUUCCCUUUCCCAUGACAGUAAUGAACAUGCCAUUCCCAAGCUUUACUGUAUCUUUGUAAUUUUCAUCCAAACAAGAAAAUAAUUCCUUGUUUCCACACAUGUGGUUGCUGCACCCUGAAUCCAAAUACCAUUUGUCUGAUUUGGAUUCUUCUUCUUCAAGAAAUGCCAUUAAAAGCAUUUCUUCUUCGGCUUCAGCUUCUACAAGAUUCACCUUCUCUUCUUUAUCUGUGCACUCAUACUGAUAAUGGCCAUACCUGUGGCAAUUAUAGCAUUGAACUCGUGAUUUGUCAAAUGGUUUUUGAUCAUAACCACGACCUCUUCCACCACGUCCUGUACCUCCUCUGCCCCAGCUGCGACCUCUUCCAUAUCCCCUUGAAAGUACUCCACCAUUCAUUGAUACUUUCAGAACCUGUUCCUCAGGAAUAAUGCUCACCAUCCGCUGCUCAUGCAAUAGCAAUGAGCUUUGUAGCUCAUCAAUCGAAAGUUCUUCAAUGUUGUGUGAUUCUUCAAUGGAGCAGACUACAUAGUUAAACUUUGCAGACAUUGAUCGAAGAAUCUUUUCAAUUAUCGUAACAUCCUCCAUUUUAUCACCAUGUAUUCGCAUUCUAUUUGCAAUUGCAAGAGUGCGUGAAAAAUAACCAUCGACUGACUCUCCAGUAUUCAUGUGGAGAAUUUCAAACUCUUUGCGAAGAGUUUGAAGUUGCGCCCUCUUCACUCUUGUUGACCCUUGAUACUUCUUCUUCAUUGAGUCCCAAAUCUGCUUGGAUGUGUUCUUGUGGAGAAUGGUCUCUAAAAUCCCCCGAUCAAUUGCUUGGAACAAGUAAUUUUUUGCUUUAAGAUCCUUCAGUUUCUGAUCUUCAAGAAUCUUGGUUUGUGCGUCUGUCAGCACACUUCCAACUGUUGGUUCAUUGAUUCCUUGUUCCACAAGACUCCAAUACUCCUUUGACCUCAAGAAAUUUUCCAUCAGCAUACUCCAAUGGUCAUAAUGACCAUCAAAGCGUGGGAUUGCAGGUUGCACGUAAUUAUUUUCUGAUGCCAUGUUCUUUGCUGCAGCAAAAGGCACAAAACUCACAAACUCACUAUCUCUCUUUUCCCUGUGUUUCCCAGUGUUUCUCUCAAUCUCACAGUGUUUCUCUCAAUCUCACGAUCUCUCUUCCCUGUGUUUCCCUUAACUUUCUGGUUUGUUUCUCACACUCUCAAGCUCUGAUACCACUUGUUGAACACUAAGUGUUCUGGACUAAUUCAAAGCUAAAGUAUUGUAUUGAAAAUGUGACAGUGAAGCUAAAGCUUUACAACAAGAAAAACGUGGAAUUGCAACUCUGUAUCUUUUAUUAAGAGAAGUUCAACUUAAAUAGAAAUACAAAUAACAGAUAAGUAGAAAAAUAUGCAGCAUCUAACCCAUGACUAACUGUCACCUAGUAAGCUGGGAUUUUCCUAAGGAAUAGGUAAACAAUUGACUGGUUCCUGGUAAAUAGGAACUUAUUCAAAUACAGAGUAAAUCAAAUAACAAAUAAACAAUAAACAUUUAACAGCUAAGGUGUGGGGGAGAGUACCUGUAAGCAGAUUUUGAGAAAGAUCAAGGUGUUGGAGAUUUUGACACGUGGAGAUAUCUAAAGGGAGAGUGGAGUUGAUGCAGUUGUUGGAGAAGGAGAGGGAAGUAAGGUUUUGGAGACGGCAAAGGAGGGUAGGGAAAGGGCCAGCCAGGUUAGAGUUGGACAAGUCUAUGGACGUGAUAGAGCUUGUUCUUGGGUCACAUUUGAUGCCGGACCAUGAGCAUGGGGUGGUGUCUCUGUCGGACCACGAAGAGAGAGCUGAGUCUGGGUCUGAAAGAGAGAGCUUUAUUUGUUGGAGGUAAAGCCCUUCUUGGUUCAGAGAAAGGGUAGAGGAAGAAAAGAAGAGGAUGGAAAGGAAAACGAAGAGAAGCAUGAUCUUCUUCUUCUUUCUUCUUCUUCUUCUUCUUCUUCUUCGGUGGUUAUGGAGUCGGCUUUGGGAUUCAAGAUAGGGCAGGCGAUGGGUGCGUGCUUUGGUGUGAGAUAUAAAAAGGGCUGAAACUUGAAAGUGAGAGCAACUGUGUUUGAGUGAGUUUUCCGGCGAAGGGACUCGGGAGUGAUGGCAUGAGAGUGGGCUUAUUGCUGUAAGGAGAGGUGCUCUGGUAUCGUGGUAUGUACUGUUAAGACAUUGCCUGAAGGUUAAUGAUAGCCUUCAUGAGUUUUUGAAUGUUAAUCAUUCGUUUCAAAUUAUUUUGUUUAAGAAUAUAAGCUUUUAUUAAAGCCAUUUUUAUGUAUUCAGUAUUUUGUAAAAUAACUUCAAAUUAAAAUUAAGGCAUAUUUUCUUUUGGAGAAAUAACAAAUGCUUCAAAUUCAUGAACUUAAA
rnacentral:lncRNA from 1 species